rnacentral:rRNA from 1 species
UACAGAGGGUGCGAGCGUUAAUCGGAAUUACUGGGCGUAAAGCGUGCGUAGACGGUUAUCUAAGUCGGAUGUGAAAGCCCCGGGCUCAACCUGGGAAUUGCAUUCGAGACUGAAUAGCUAGGGUGCGGUAGAGGGAAGCGGAAUUUCCGGUGUAGCGGUGAAAUGCGUAGAUAUCUGGAGGAACACCGGUGGCGAAGGCGGCAUCCUGGACCAAUUCUGACGCUGAGGAGCGAAAGCCAGGGGAGCAAACGGG